rnacentral:rRNA from 1 species
CACGUAGGAGGCGAGCGUUGUCCGGAAUCAUUGGGCGUAAAGAGCGCGCAGGCGGCUUGGCAAGUCGGGCGUGAAAUCCCGGGGCUCAACCCCGUGACUGCAUUCGAUACUGUCAGGCUAGAGGUAGGUAGGGGAGAUCGGAAUUCCUGGUGUAGCGGUGAAAUGCGCAGAUAUCAGGAGGAACACCGGUGGCGAAGGCGGAUCUCUGGGCCGUACCUGACGCUCAGGCGCGAAAGCUAGGGGAGCGAACAGG